GGGGAUAACACUUAGAAAUAGGUGCUAAUACCGCAUAAGCGCACGGAGCUGCAUGGCUCAGUGUGAAAAACUCCGGUGGUAUAUGAUGGACCCGCGUCUGAUUAGCUUGUUGGCGGGGUAACGGCCCACCAAGGCGACGAUCAGUAGCCGGCCUGAGAGGGUGGACGGCCACAUUGGGACUGAGACACGGCCCAAACUCCUACGGGAGGCAGCAGUGGGGAAUAUUGGACAAUGGGGGGAACCCUGAUCCAGCGACGCCGCGUGAGUGAAGAAGUAUCUCGGUAUGUAAAGCUCUAUCAGCAGGGAAGAAAGAAAUGACGGUACCUGACCAAGAAGCCCCGGCUAACUACGUGCCAGCAGCCGCGGUAAUACGUAGGGGGCAAGCGUUAUCCGGAUUUACUGGGUGUAAAGGGAGCGUAGACGGUAAUGCAAGUCUGGAGUGAAAUGCAGGGGCUCAACCCCUGAACUGCUUUGGAAACUGUAUGACUGGAGUGCAGGAGAGGUAAGUGGAAUUCCUAGUGUAGCGGUGAAAUGCGUAGAUAUUAGGAGGAACACCAGUGGCGAAGGCGGCUUACUGGACUGUAACUGACGUUGAGGCUCGAAAGCGUGGGGAGCAAACAGGAUUAGAUACCCUGGUAGUCCACGCCGUAAACG
rnacentral:rRNA from 1 species